AGCCCGGCCGGGGGCUCAUCCCGUUGGGCAGACAGCUGCCGAAAGGCGUUGCCUUCCAGCGUGGAGUUUAGAUCAUGGCCAGUCACGGCGGAGCUGAAGAACACCUGUCAGAGGCGUUUUUCUGCAGGGAGAUGGUCUCUUUCAUCAGAUUUCAUUGCACUCCAGAAAAAGAUUCGUUUUAAAAUCUGAGGAAUGGAGGCGUGAGCCAGGGACCGCAGGCCACCACCAGUCACCGGACAAGGCAAGAAACAGAUUCUCCUCUGCGGCCUCAGAAAGAACGAAGCUCUGCCGACACCCUGAUUUUUGUCCAGUGAGACCCAAUUUGGGCUUCUGACCUCCAGAACUCAGCGACAUUUCUUGAAAAUGCAGGAACCAUCCGGUUUGACUAGCAACACGAGGAAUUGGUGACUUUGCUCUUCUCGAGCUCCCAAGAAGAAAACUCCGUUUUUUUGUCUGCUCCCUCUGAGUUUUAUAGCUGCUUCUGCACAUCUAAAGCGCCUGACAUCUCAAGAACAUUUUAAUUUUGAAACUACUUUGAAUUCGUCUUUGGUUGUAAGAGAAUCAAAGAGGUACCUUAUUUACAUUUCAGAUGUGAGAAUUGAGGCUCAGAGAGAUUAAUUGAGGCUCAGAGAGAUUAAAUGACCUGCUCAAGUUUUGGGGCAUGGCCUGGUAAGGAAUAAACUCUAGCACUCCCUGCCUUUGCUUAAUUUUAAAUGGCAUCUAUAUAAGAUGGAAGAUACAGUUAUAAGUGUUUGUUUUUGCAACAAUUAUAUAUAUAUAUAUGAAGCUCUGAAAUUCUUUGUGCAGCUACUUUAUUUGCUUAUUCUAAGAUGUACUUUCUUGUCCUAUAUUUGUAUUUCAAACUGUGCUGCAUCUUGUAAUCAAUGGGGUAUCAUAAUCCGAUUGGCAGGGUUUUUGCCUUUUCUUAGUUGUUACAGCAGAUGGCUACUUAAAAUAUCCCAACUCUUCACCCCUCUCUAUCUCCAUGCCCUUUGCGAUGUCACUUUGCAACUCCUUGCAUCC